rnacentral:rRNA from 1 species
CUCAAGAUUAAGCCAUGCAAGUGGUUACAUUAACCCGACAGUUUAAAUAAGUGUUCAAUGCUAUCACGCAUAUAUGCAAUGCAUGCAAAAAUAUAUUUACGCAUACACACACACACACCCGCGCAUAUAUAUUAAGGCAAGCAACGCAUGAAUUUUGUUUACGAUAGUAACAAAAUUUCAGCGUGAAUCACACAUACGCACACAGUGAAUCAAAGCGAAAUUUUACAAUUUCAACGUAUCACUUACGCAACUGCAGACAGCUGCUUAAUACAGUCACACUUGUCUUGACUUGGCACACACACACACACACACACACGAUUUCUCUGUAUCGCAUAUUCAUACAAGAAGAAAAUUGCGUUACACCGUGACACUUUUUAUCUUUUUUAUGGAUAACUCAGGGAAAGUUUGGCUAAUACGUACGAGUACAAUACACACACACACACACACACACACUCUAUACAMUACUCAACACUCAGUGRUAAUCUUUGAUUUAYGUGUAUUCUUACGCGUCUAUCAWUAUAAAGUUUAAUCGCAACAUGAGAGACAUUGAGCACGCACGUGUARUGUGAAUUUAUUCACGUUACACACCCACGCUGAGCAGACUKUGCGAAGUUUACUUUUGCGAAGCAUGUCAUACAAGCAUCUACAGCAUCAAGUCACAGGGUUGGCAAGUGUAUUUUUGAACCUUCAAAGCAGUCACGCAUACGGAAGAGUAGUUUCUGAUCCCAUAGAAGGAGCACCGUACAAUGAGAGACCGCUCUUAGUUCUAAGGAACGCAGCAGGCGCGUAAAUUGCCCAAUGCUAGUACCCUACAAUCAUACUAUAUUUGCAAUUUACUUUAUUACGCAUUACGACACUGUACUAUUUUAUUCUGUUAUACACACACACACACACAUCCUUGUUCACACGCGUAAGUAAGUUAUUAUAUAUAUACGUAUAUUUUAUUUACUGAGGCAGUGACAAGCUGUAACGGUUGAGUAUAAAAAUGACGAGUGUCUGGCAUUGCCGCUCCUUCGGGAGCUUGGCAAGUUGCCGACGCUUUGUGUGCUCAAUUGGAAUGCGGUGAGUUUAAGCAACUCAGAACCUUUUAACGGUGUUACGUAAAAAUUUCACUGUUGAUGUAUCUGAAUUCAAGUGGAGGGCAAGUCUGGUGCNNNNNNCCGCGGUAAUACCAGCUCCACUGGCCUAUACAAUCAUUGUUGCGGUUAAGAGGCUCGUAGUUGGAUUGAACUGCAAUAUGAAUUUUUUAUUCGCUAAUAAAUUCUAUAUUUCAGUAUUCUCGCAUAUGUGUGAUACACACACACACACACCUACAUACAUAUGCGUUCGACGCUGUUAUUUCAAAUAUACGCGUCUUGUAUAUUUCUUACGGCAAUUUUUUUUUCUGCGACAUGCACACACACACACACACACACACAUUUGUGCACCACUCGCACACGGGGAAAAUUUUUGUCACUAGUAUUUAUUCGCAAUACACACACACUCAUAUUUCAACACUGUGAACAAAUCAGAGUGUAUCAAACAUGUCGUUUUUGAAUGUGCAUUGAAUGUCUUAUCAUGGGAUGUUGCACUUUCAUACCGGUUAAAGAUUUACGUCUUCGAUCACACACACACAUGUUACGCAUACACACAUACACACGCUUUCGCGAGCGCGCGUAAUUUACAAGGUCGCUAAAUAUUUCUUUAACGGUUAAAAAUGUCGAUGGAGAUAGUUGGAGUCAACAGUACUGCUGGGCGAGAGGUGAAAUUCAUUGACCCUAGCAAGACUACCAAAAGCGAAAGCAGUUGGGCUAGGCUAUACUCUUUGUGAUUAUAUUAUAUACGUACACCCACACACACUCACACACACACAUGUAUAUUAUUUUUUUGCGCAUACACACACACACACACUUGCGCAUCAACAAUUGUUACAUACACACGCGUAUAUUUUUUAAUACACUUUACAAUGAAGAACGAAGGUUGGGGGAUCAAAGAGGAUCAGAUACCCUCGUCGUCCCAUUAAUUACAUCAAACGAUGGGCUCUCAAUUGCAUUUAUUCACAAUAAAUUGCAAAUUUCCUCAGCCUACAAAAUUUAUUCGGCUUGAGCUCGUGAUUCUAUCACGCUCGCCUAUAGUAUUUUUUCGUAUGGUCUCGAUGGACGUUUCAUUUAUUUAUAUUUUUUGCGUGUAAGCAUUAUGUUAUUCUUUGAAACAUAAGAAUGCAUUGCGUGCACUUGAUUUUCGGAGCUUUGCGCUCAAUUCUGGUGAGAUGUAAGCACUAUGUUAUUCUGCCCGUACCGCGUAUGUGUUCACUCACAUUUCGCCUGGUAUCCGUGUGCAGUAUUUAACAAUUUCGGUGUGAAGCACGCUUUAGGCACGCGCUUACUGCAGAAAUGUCUGAGACAUUCCCCUCCGGGGGUAGUAUGCACGCAAGUGUGAAACUUGAAGGAAUUGACGGAAGGGCACCACAAGAACGCGUGGAGCAUGUGGCUUAAUUUGACUCAACGCGGGAAAUCUUACCGGGUCCGGACACACUGAGGAUUGACAGGCAAUAUUAAUAUGUGUGACUUUUUUGUCUUUCACGAGUGAGAAAGCUUACGUACAUUAUGUUAAAUAUGCUAGUCCUUUCAUGAUUAUGUGAUAGGUGGUGCAUGGCCGUUCUUAGUUCGUGGAGUGAUCUGUCUGCUUAAUUGCGUUUCACUAAGGGCCUAUACAAUUACGUAUGUUGUUGAUUGCACUUUGACCCCUCCUUCACGGGUGCGUGUGUCUUUGCUUUGCUUCAACUCAUACAAUUAGGUCCUGAAAGCAACGAACGUGACCGCAACCUCUUGUUGCUUUCGUAUACCAUUUAUAACACAGUUUUUUUUAUAUAUGUAUUCGUACAUCAUAUAAAAUUGCUGUGCAAGAAAGCUUUUUAAACUAGAGGGACCGCUGUUAUCUUCUUAAACCAGAGGAAGGUUGCGGCAAUAACAGGUCUGUGAUGCCCUUAGAUGUUCCGGGCUGCACACGUGCUACAAUGGAUUAUUGCAGUGAGCAUCUCAUUUUUUACACACCGCAUGCGCGAGUCCAUUUAUUCACAUUGCCUUCACGGGGCUGUGCUUUAAAUGUGUAUCUCUGCGCGCGGUAAAGCCUGCUUCGAGAGUAAGUGGGUAAUCAAUUAGAAGUAAUGAUUUCCUUUUUUUUCUGCACACAUAUAUACGGCAGCUAUACCCGGGUAACCUUGUUGUUACUUUUGUGUGUAUAGUUGUACCCUUUUUCCGUAUGUGCGAUUGUCAAUUCAUGGUGGGGACAGACCAUUGUUAAUUGUUGGUCUCGGUCUUAACUAGGAAUGCCUUGUACGGGUCUUUGGUUCAACAAACCACCCGGAAUACGUCCCUGCCCUUUGUACACACCGCCCGUCGCUCUUACCGAUGGACUUCUCUGUGAGUUUGAAGGACUGGGAACGCAUUGCGUUUACGCUUUGCACACCUAUGGAAACUUAAACGAACAGUGUGGUCUAAAGGAAAGAGAAGUCGUAACAAGGCAUCAGUAGGUGAAC